GACGAACGCUGGCGGCGUGCUUAACACAUGCAAGUCGAACGGUAAGGCCCUUCGGGGUACACGAGUGGCGAACGGGUGAGUAACACGUGGGUGAUCUUCCCUGCACUUCGGGAUCAGCCUGGGAAACUGGGUCCACUACCGGAUAGGACCACCUCCUGCAUGGGUGGGGGUGGAAAGCAUUUGCGGCGUGGGAUGGGCCCGCGGCCUAUCAGCUUGGUGGUGGGGUGAUGGCCUACCAAGGCGACGACGGGUAGCCGGCCUGAGAGGGUGACCGGCCACACUGGGACUGAGAUACGGCCCAGACUCCUACGGGAGGCAGCAGUGGGGAAUAUUGCACAAUGGGCGCAAGCCUGAUGCAGCGACGCCGCGUGAGGGAUGACGUCCUUCGGGUUGUAAACCUCUUUCAGCACCGACGAAGCGCAAGUGACGGUAGGUGCAGAAGAAGGACCGGCCAACUACGUGCCAGCAGCCGCGGUAA
rnacentral:rRNA from 1 species